ACCUGCUUGCAGGUAUCGUUAACUGAAUACAUAGGUUAACGAGGCGAACGCGGAGAACUGAAACAUCUAAGUACCCGUAGGAAAAGAAAUCAACCGAGAUUCCGAUAGUAGCGGCGAGCGAAAUCGGAAAAGCCCUUAAGCUUAUUAUGUGUUAAUGGAAGGCUCUGGAAAGUGCCACGAUACAGGGUGAUAGUCCCGUACAUGAAAAGACAUUUUAAGUGAAAUCGAGUAGGUCGGAGCACGUGAAACUUUGACUGAAUAUAGGUGGACCAUCAUCUAAGGCUAAAUACUCCCAACUGACCGAUAGUGAACCAGUACCGUGAGGGAAAGGCGAAAAGAACCCCUGUGAGGGGAGUGAAAUAGAACCUGAAACCGUGUACGUACAAGCAGUAGG
rnacentral:rRNA from 1 species